UGUUUCAGGCAUGUUUGCAAUUAUUCGUUGAAAUAUUUUUGAGGUUUUGAAAACUUAGAUCAUUCUAACAUCUCUUCCUUCAUUGUCUUCGCAUCUGUUCAUUGUCUUUAUCUGAUCAGUUUUAGAUCUUCCCAGAUUUUGGUACCAUGACUUUCAGCUGAAUCACGGACAUGUGCACCUUAUAUCAUGAACCUCUGGAGUUUAAACUUCUGCUUCAAUUUGCUUUCUUAGAUUUGCUCUGAAGUGAUAGAAGACAGUACCUUCUUACUGAUUCCAGGUGGAAGAAUAAGACCAGGUUCUACACUGGGGCUGCACUGACCUUGGGUGGGGAUGCCCUACUACCGCUGGGUAGGGUUAGCGGUCAGGUGCCUGAUGUGGAUUCUGUUGGUGGUUUCCCCAAGGUGGGGGAAGAUGGUUUUGUUUCAUCCAGGUAAUGGUGACAGUCUCUCACCUGACCUCCUUUGACUGCAAGCGUGUGUGAGAGAAGCGCAUGGCUAAUGCUGGUGGGGAAGGAAGUCCAGGCUCUACUAUGGGGACGGUUGAGGUUGUUACUUCUGAGUAACGAUGAAAAUUUUACCUUUGCACUUGGCUUUUUUUUCUCCCCAUUCUGCACUUGGCUUUUUUGACUCCAGAAGAGUGUUGACAUACUUCCUUACUGAUUAGAUACUGGGCGGGAGUCCAGACUAUCCAGUUGGGCUUGCCUUGUAGAAAAGGGUUUGCCCAGUUGUGUAUCUGGGAUUUUUGCCUGGAGUAGAUCCAUUACUGUCUAAGAAUUUUCUGUCUUGCUGUGCUGCUGUGUUUUGGUCUCUGGUCUAGAGAGAAUAAACUUGUGGUUUGUCCUAAGCUUGUUGACAUUUCCACAUUGUUGCUCCCUUCGACUAGAGGUCUGGGAUAAGAGAGGUAAAAAGAAGACCCAAGGAACUCCCCACCUUGUCAUUUCCUGGCUCUCAACUUCUCUUGCCAGCCUUCCAAUUUCUUUUCACCUGUGAGAAUUUUAUAUUUGCUUUGUGUAAAUCAUAUGUUUUUAAUUUUUGCUUAGGGAAAAGAAUAGGGAAACGAUAGUCCAGCAUUCUGAAAGUACAAGUCCUUGACUUAAAUUUAUUUUAAUCAUCUUGUUAUAUGAUCAACCUUUUUUUCAGUGAAUGAUCUAACAAUAUAAAGAUGUAUAAUGAUAACAAUAAAAAGAGUAAGUGAUACUAGUGUGGUUCUUUCUAUGUGCAAGUAUGUAAUAUUUAGUCUCCACAUACAACUCUUUGAAGAUAGCUGUAUUCUGAUACACAAACAGUGGGAAAGAAAAGUGACACAACUCUCAGGAUCUCAGGGAAGAAACAGAGCUGGGAUUCAAAACCAGGAAGUUUAAUUUCAGAAUCCGUGCUGUUUUUUUAAUUCACUGUUGUAUCUUUGUGUGACAGUUGAUUGACUGUGUCAAUUUGAGAACAAAGUCAAACAUAAUUCUGGAUGUGGAAUCCACCCUAUGGAGGAUUAUUUUCAGAGUUUGGGACUAUAGUAGUGGAGUUGUUGCUGUGACUGUACCUGACCAUGUGGUUCAGAAGCCUUUGGAUCUGGCUUAUGGGAAGAGUUUGGAGAGGUUUGGAGAUGCCAGCUGAACAAGCACCUCGGAAUGUCUUAAGGUGUACUUGAUGGGAGAUUUUGGUCAAAGCUCGGAAGAUCAGAGUGCUGAUAAAGAAAGAAAUGUUGCUGGUAAAGAUCAGGAUCUGGAGGGGUCUUUGUUGAGAAGGACCCUAUUGACUCUUAGACUCCAGAUAAAGAGUUACUCCUUUAGAGAAUGUUUGCAUUUUAUUCAUGUCCAGAGACUUUGCCUGAGACUGAAAUUAAGGGCUAGGUAAUCUGGUAGAAGAAAUUUCAAGGCACUUUAAUGUUGAGGCCAUGGCAUGGCUACUGUUGGGGUCUUUUAGCUAGAUUUAUAUUGAGAAUCAAGAGCAAAGAGCCAACAGAAUGAUUUAUUUUUUUUAUUGGUACCAGGGAUCGAAAUCAAGACUGCACAAGGCAAGCACUUAUGCCGCUGAGCUAAAUCCCCAGCCCCUCAACAGAAUGAUUUAAACAUUUUGAGUUUGGUCAGAAAGGAAGCCAUGGUACAGUUGCAAGUUACAGAGAUGGAACAAUGGAGAAACUGAUCAUUGUAAAGUCUAUGAAGAAAAAGUCAAGUAGUUCAGAAGAGGAUAGUAGAAAAGAUGACCUCAGGAUUUCACAACAAUCAGCAGAACGCCACCUUUUACAGCCUCAAAAUUGCAAAAAUAAAAGGCUUUGCUUUAGAAGAAAGCCUCAGAGCACUGUGUUCUAGGAUGGUGGCAUCCUAAGGAAGUUGCUCCUUGGGAUUAGGUUCAUAGGAACUUGACUGCUACAGUCAAGAGAGAAGGAAGCCGGGCUCUUGCUCCAGCUGUUGACAGACUGUGGCAUCAUCCACGUGGUGUUGAUUUUAGGUGCAUGUAGAAUGCAAGCAUUGUGGGAUCAGGAAGGCUUCCACCAUAUUUCAUAUAAAGCUGAGGAAGCCAGCCAAUGUUGCCCUAAGAAGACUGUUUGUCAAAGACUGAGUAUGAAGCCAGAGGUACAAUGAACAUCCAAGAAGUUUGGAAAACCCAGGAAUGUAGACCAUCUGAGGCAAAUUGGAAGGAGGGAGCAGAGCUACCCCAAGAGAGGAACCCUGGGAGUAUAUUCACUGCCAGUGCCAUAAGGCUGCAGCUACCCAAGCACCUAAAAUCAACACUCAUGGUGUGAUGCUAGGAUUAAGGAUUGAGUGCUACCCAUGCUACUGGAUAAAUAGAAGAGACAGAAAGUGGUUUCUGUCUGCUUGCUUGUCACUUGCUUCUGCAGCUUGUUGCCUUUGCCUGCCAUGAAUUCUUUCUCCUCUGCAUUGCUCCUCUCCCUUGUUACCUUGACUUGGAGCCAGCCAGCUAUGGAUUGAGACCUCUACAAACCAUUAGCCAAAUAAACCUUUCCUCCAUAACUUUGGGUGUGAGGUAUUUUGUUUCAACAAUGAGAAAAGGAACUGCAAUACCUUAUUACCAACAUAAUAUGUACCACAAGCUACUAUGAGUGAGCAGCUUCCUCUAUCACACACCCCACUGUGAUCUACUGCGCUGCCACAGGCCCAAAGCAACUAAGCCAAGAAGCCAGAGACUGAAAGCUCUCAAACUCUGUGUGAUGGGUUAAGAACUGGUGGUCAACUUAACACCAGCAGAAUUAAAUCACCAUGGUGCUGAGCAUAGGUGCUCCACCUGAGGAAAGUUGCCAGCAUAAACAGAGACAUGGAGAAGGAGAAAGGAGGCAUUGAGGCAUUGGGGUAUUGUGGGGUUUCCUAUGUGUUGCUGUUUGAACCAUUGGUUCUCCUGGAGAAGCUCUGGUCCUCACAUCAAGCACUGUUUCCUGGCUCCGGAGAGGAAGAUGUGUGCCACUUGGUCUCCAGGAUGAACUCGUCACGCUGGCUUCCUGGCAUGUACUCGACUGUGCUUGUCGUCGGAGGAGCUCAGGACCUUUGUGUCACUGAGAAUGGCUGUGGUGCUUUUCAGGACAGCCCUGGUCUUCAUUAUGAGUGUGACUUCUCAGCUCCAGCGUAGAAUCCUCAACCUACCAGCACAGUUCCUUCUCCCCGCUGGCAUAGACUUCCUAGCUUCCACUGCUGACCUUUGGGCCUUCCCAGCACGGAUCCACAAAACAGACUAGCAAGAAUCCUUCUUGUGGGCUCUAGACCUCUAGUUGGACUUGUGGGAGGCACUGUCAUGAGCUCUGGGUCUUCAUCUGGACUCAUGCAGGGCAUUACUGUGGUUGAUGGCUUGGUUAUAGCUUGGUUGAAUAGUCUAAGUCUUUAGUGUCAUGGAUAGAUUUCCUGCACUUUUUUGUGUUAAACUCUGGUGAUCAUCAUAAAUAACAUUAUAAACUCCAUGUCCUGAUUCUAAUUGUCCUCUGUCCAACCCCUGACUACAACACUGUGAGACAAAUAACCUUUUUCUUCUUAUAGUUAUUUGACUUAGAUGUUUGGUCACAGCAAUGGAACACUGACCUACACAUAGUCUGUCACUUUUUCAUUUUAUUUUUGGAUUGCUGACACUUUUCACAUGAGUGUCUUUGUUAAUGGGGGUCUUUUCAUGAUCUGUGUUCUCCUCUUGCUGAUCCAUUUGCUUAAUGUUGUGCCUACCAUUACCACAUGGUCCUAAAUUGUCUCCUUUUCCAGUAACCCUUGACUUCUGGUCAGUAGUUUCUCUCAUUGUGUUCUUUUUAAAAAUUUUACAUUUUAUUAAGAUUGGAAUAAACUAUACAAAAUUUCCUUCAUCAAAAAUAACAGCAAUAUUUUCUGUGUUACUUCUAGAUGAGCCACACUCAUUUUAUAGGUUUUCCAGGACCCACUGUGCUCUUUUUCAAAAUUAUUUUGGUUAUUUUGGCCCAUCUUAGUUACUUUUUACUCAUUGCUGAGACAAAAUACCUGCCUGAUGCACCAAGUUGGGAAAGGAAAAGUUUAUUUCUUACAGUUUUUGCAGGUUUCAGUCCAUACUCAGUUGGCUCCAAGGCAGGUGGCAUGGUGGGGCCGCAGUUCAUGGCAGCUGCAAACAGCAAGGGGAAACUGGCAAGAGAGAAAGACACACCUUCUUCCUGCCAUUACAUCACAUCCUAGCUCCACCCCUAUGGGGGUGUAGCACUGAUACCAUCAAUCCAAGCUCUAGACAAUGAACCAAUCACAGAUGCAUAAUGUAAAUGCAUGAGGGCUUGGGGCCACUGAUAUAAACCAUGACAGUCCCUUUAAAAAAUUUUGUUAUAAAUUUUAUAUAUCUUAAAAAUUUUAAUAAAUUUUGGAAUAGGUUUGUCAAAUUGCAAACACACUGAAAUUUUCAACUUUAUUGAUAAAUUAAUUUAUAUACAGUGAGCAUCUACUUUGUUUAUACUUUGCAGAAUUUUGAGCAACAUUGCUAUGGCUUGUAUCUAGAAGACUCUACAAAGUCUCAUGUAGGCACAGGUGAGGCUUUUGGUAACUGGUUGGCUCCAGGGUGCAUUAUAUUGGAGUAAGGGAAUACAAUAACUAAAUUGGCCUAGCCAAGUUCUGCGUGUGAAUGAUGGAAGGCUGACCCUAGAUGGGAUGGCAUCAGCUAAUAGGCUUUUAUCCUAGAUGGAAUACAAAUGGACAGAAAAAAAGGCAGGCUUGCUUCUUCCUGUCUCCUGCCUACCCUGCCAUGGACUGUUUUUCUCUGCUAUACCCUUCUGUUAUGCCAUCCUGCCUGGGAGCUAGCCACCUGUGGGCAGAAAUUCCUAUAAAUGGUGUGCUACAACAAAAUUUUCCUUCUUCAAUGUAUAGGUGUAGGGUAUUUUUUUUCCAGCAAUGUAAAAAGUAACUCAAAUAUAUAUGCGUGUGCAUAUAUAUCAAUAUCACCACCAUCUAUCAAUGUAUCUGUCACACCAAAAGAUUUCCUAUGUCCCUCACAGUUAACUCUUUAGUACUGUGCCCAGGCAAUGUCUGAUCUGUCUGUAUGUUAUAUAGACAUAAGGAUUUCUCUAGUAUUUUAUAUACAUUGAAUAAUAUUAAACUUGUCCUUUUAUGUCUGGCUUCUUUUGCUCAACAUAAUCUUCUAGAGAUUCAACCACAUUAACAUGUGUAUCAGUUGUUCUCAUUUUAAUGCUAAGCAACAGUUCAGUACAUAGAUUCACCAAAGUUUGCUUUUUCAAUCAUCAGGCAAUGGGAAUUAGGACUUGCAAAUUUGACAAGAAGUAUGAAGACUCCUGCUAUGAAUAUUAAUAAAAGAAUCAUGUGAACAUAUGCAUUUAUCUCUCUUAGACAAACUAUUCUAAGAAAGAUAUUUAUAUGAAUUUCAUGGUAAGUGUAUGUUCAACGCUUUAGGAAACUGCCAAGAUAUUCCCUAUAGUCCCAUAGUAGGACUAUGCAUUCUCUAAAAUAUUAGUGUGACUCUACAUCUUCUAAAAUAUUUGUGUGAUUAUACAUUUCCACUACCAAUAAAUGAUAGAGUUGCUUCAGUUCCUUGUCAGUAGUUUAGUAGUGUUUAUCCUUUCUCGAAUUCCCGGCAGUCUUUCUGCCUUAGCCUCUUGACUGUCCCACCAUACCUUCAUAAGUUUAGCCUUCAAAAGGCAGGUAGUGGUACUCUUUUUGUAAUUCUUUACUUGUAAUUUGUAUUUCUCUAGUGAUUAAAGAGACUAUUUUUCAUGUGA